rnacentral:rRNA from 1 species
GCCAGCCCGCUCAGAACUUAAAUGAAUUGACGGGGCCGCACAAGCGGUGGAGUAUGUGGUUUAAUUCGAUGCAACGCGAAGAACCUUACCUGGUCUUGACAUCCCGGAGACCCUUAGGAAACUAGGGGGUGCUUCCAUCUGGAAGAAUCUGGAGACAGGUGCUGCAUGGCUGUCGUCAGCUCGUGUCGUGAGAUGUUGGGUUAAGUCCCGCAACGAGCGCAACCCUUGCCUUUAGUUGCCAGCAGUUCGGCUGGGCACUCUAAAGGGACUGCCGGUGUUAAACCGGAGGAAGGUGGGGAUGACGUCAAGUCCUCAUGGCCUUUAUGACCAGGGCUACACACGUACUACAAUGGCCGAUACAAAGGGCAGCGACACUGCGAGGUGAAGCCAAUCCCGUAAAAUCGGUCUCAGUCCGGAUUGGAGUCUGCAACUCGACUCCAUGAAGUUGGAAUCGCUAGUAAUCGUGGAUCAGCAUGCCACGGUGAAUACGUUCCCGGGCCUU